rnacentral:lncRNA from 1 species
AUACCUCAUUUAACGAAAGGAGAAACCGUCGUUGUAAACCCAUAGUUCCAUCGUUAAAUAUCAAUAACGACGGACAAUUUAUCCGUCGUGACCUGUCGUAAAAGCUUCCUUCGUUAAAAACACUUACAACCAAAAUGAACCACUAGUCGUUAUAAAUUAUUAACAUCCACAUCUUUUGUCGUCGUUAUUUAGUUACAUUAGUAACCACUUCACUUUACAGUAACGACCAAAGAUUUCGUAGCUAGUAUAACUAACGACUACAUUUUUUGUCGUUAAAAGCAUUUCACAAGUAAAAGAAGACAACAUAACAACGACCAAUUUUUUUCCGUCGUUAAUGAUACAAAUCUUGUCAUAUUUUAUUUUUGACAAAUUUAUUACUUUUAACAGCAUAAACAAUUUGCAUACACAAUGAUGUAAAUACAUACACACACAUACAACUCACAACAAAUCCAUAAUUUAUAAACUUAUAAUAAAACUUCAUUAACAGUUUAAAGUAAUUAGCAUCCACAAUAUUCAUAUUUUUUCCAAAACAUUCACCAAGUACAUUCACCUAGUUAGUACAUAUGGUUUCCAUCACACCAUCACAUAUAGUCAACAUUCACAACAAAAAAAUAAAGUCGUGACAUCAACGACUAUCACCAUUUUCUAAAAAAAGGUCAACUUAAAAACAAAAAAGAGAACUUGCAAUUCAUCGUCCUUUUGUCCCAAAAAUUACCAUGAACUACCUACAAAAGAGAAAAAGAAUAGAUGUUAAAAUAAUGUAAAAGU